rnacentral:rRNA from 1 species
AACGAACGCUGGCGGCAUGCCUAACACAUGCAAGUCGAACGAGACCUUCGGGUCUAGUGGCGCACGGGUGCGUAACGCGUGGGAAUCUGCCCUGGGGUGCGGAGUAACUCGGAGAAAUCCGUGCUAAUACCGCAUAAUGUCUUCGGACCAAAGAUUUAUCGCCCUGGGAUGAGCCCGCGUAGGAUUAGCUAGUUGGUGGGGUAAAGGCCUACCAAGGCGACGAUCCUUAGCUGGUCUGAGAGGAUGAUCAGCCACACUGGGACUGAGACACGGCCCAGACUCCUACGGGAGGCAGCAGUGGGGAAUAUUGGACAAUGGGCGAAAGCCUGAUCCAGCAAUGCCGCGUGAGUGAUGAAGGCCCUAGGGUGUAAAGCUCUUUACCCGGGAUGAUAAUGACAGUACCGGGAGAAUAAGCUCCGGCUAACUCCGUGCCAGCAGCCGCGGUAAU